CUCGUAGGCGGCCAACUAAGUCAGACGUGAAAUCCCCAGGCUCAACCUGGGAACUGCGUCUGAUACUGGAUGGCUUGAAUUCGGGAGAGGGAUGCAGAAUUCCAGGUGUAGCGGUGAAAUGCGUAGAUAUCUGGAGGAAUACCGGUGGCGAAGGCGGCAUCCUGGACCGACAUUGACGCUGAGGAGCGAAAGCUAGGGGAGCAAACGGGAUUAGAUACCCCGGUAGUCCUAGCCCUAAACGAUGAAUGCUUGGUGUAACGGGUAUCGAUCCCUGUUGUGCCGAAGCUAACGCAUUAAGCAUUCCGCCUGGGGAGUACGGUCGCAAGGCUGAA
rnacentral:rRNA from 1 species